UACAGAGGUCUCAAGCGUUGUUCGGAUUCAUUGGGCGUAAAGGGUGCGUAGGCGGCGCGGUAAGUCGGGUGUGAAAACUGGAGGCUCAACCUUCAGAGGUCGACCGAAACCAUCUGGCUAGAGUCCGGGAGAGGAGAGUGGAAUUCCUGGUGUAGCGGUGAAAUGCGCAGAUAUCAGGAAGAACACCCGUGGCGAAAGCGGCUCUCUGGAACGCAACUGACGCUGAGACGCGAAAGCGUGGGGAGCAAACAGG
rnacentral:rRNA from 1 species